UACGGAGGGUGCAAGCGUUAUCCGGAUUCACUGGGUUUAAAGGGUGCGUAGGUGGGCAGGUAAGUCAGUGGUGAAAUCUCCGAGCUUAACUCGGAAACUGCCAUUGAUACUAUCUGUCUUGAAUUUUCUGGAGGUGAGCGGAAUAUGUCAUGUAGCGGUGAAAUGCUUAGAUAUGACAUAGAACACCCAUUGCGAAGGCAGCUCACUACGGGACAAUUGACACUGAGGCACGAAAGCGUGGGGAUCAAACAGG
rnacentral:rRNA from 1 species